AUUGAACGCUGGCGGCAGGCCUAACACAUGCAAGUCGAACGAGUGGCGGACUGGUGAGUAAUGUCUGGGAACCUGCCUGAUGGAGGGGGAUAACUACUGGAAACGGUAGCUAAUACCGCAUACCAUCGGAUGUGCCCAGAUGGGAUUAGCUAGUUGCUGGGGUAAAGGCUCACCUAGGCGACGAUCCCUAGCUGGUCUGAGAGGAUGACCGUCCAAACUGGAACGAAGACACGGUCCAGACUCCUACGGGAGGCAGCAGUGGGGAAUAUUGCACAAUGGGCGAAAGCCUGAUGCAGCCAUGCCGCGUGUAUGAAGAAGGCCUUCGGGUUGUAAAGUACUUUCAGCGGGGAGGCGUUACCCGCAGAAGAAGCACCGGCUAACUCCGUGCCAGCAGCCGCGGUAAUUC
rnacentral:rRNA from 1 species